CCUGUGCUAAAUCUUUCCAUGAAUUAAUCUUGGCAUGACUCAAUUGAUUGUACCACUUGGACGUGGCCCUUGUGAGGCUAUCCUGGAAACAAUGUAUCAGCAACUGGUCAUUACUAACAUACUCAGUCACCCGCCUACAAAACAUAGUAAUAUGGGCUUCGGGACUACUAGUUCCAUUAUACUUCUCAAAAUCGGGCAUUUUGAAUUUAUAAGGGAGUACUAAAUCCGAAAUCAAGCUUAAUUCUUUAGCAUCAAUCCCGUAGUAGCUCUCAGCACUUUCUAUUGCUCUAAAUUUCUCUUCCAGCCAUUUAUACUUUUCUUCUAGCUGUUUUGGCAAUUCAU
rnacentral:lncRNA from 1 species